UCUUAAUGGAUGAGCAAAGAAAGUGGUUUCUUGAGAUGGAAUCUACUAUUGGUGGAGAUCCUGUGAA
rnacentral:pre_miRNA from 2 species